rnacentral:rRNA from 1 species
AGAAUCAACGCUGGCGGCGUGCCUAACACAUGCAAGUCGAACGCGAAAGGGGGCUUCGGCUCCUGAGUAGAGUGGCGUCCGGGUGAGUAACACGUGGGUAAUCUGCCUUCGGGUGGGGAAUAACUCAGGGAAACUUGAGCUAAUACCGCAUAAUGCAGCGGCACCUAAUGGUGAUUAGUUGUUAAAGCGGGGGAUCGCAAGACCUCGCGCCUGAAGAGGAGCCUGCGGCAGAUUAGCUAGUUGUGAGGUAAUGGCUCACAAGGCUUCGAUCUGUAGCUGGUCUGAGAGGACGCCAGCCACACUGGCACUGACACGACGGCCAGAC